AAAUAUAUUAUCUUACCUUUCUCCAAGCAGUUCCUUUCCAUUUAAUUCAUAAACUGCAUCAUCUGCGUCUCUGUAGUCUUCAAAUUCCUGUAUCAAGCAAAGUAUCCAUAUUCAAUGAGGUUCUCAAUCUGGUGAAAAUUUUUUAGUGAAAGUUUUUAAAAUGAGA